CUUGACCCUAAAGGGUCACUCAUUCAUUUCUCUAGGGUUUGGGAGAGGGAGCCGUACCGCCAAGCGGCAACUCUUCUCUCUCCUCAUCACCAUGGCUCAAAAUGGCAAGGUUUCAGUGUGCUUUUGAUUUUGGCAGUAUGGUUCAACUUUUAAGGGUAAUGAAUUUAUUGCUUCGACUUCUUUCAUCAAAUCCGACCCUCAAACACGGUACUCGGAGAUACAUCCCGAAGACGACACUCGGAAGGAACCCGAAGACUUCAUCGAAUCACUAUUUGUAUUUACUUUCCGCAUUUUUUAUAACUGUACAAAACAUAAACUCAUAGUAUAGUGAAAACUUUAUUUUUGGAAUGACGGGUUGAUAUAUUUA